GUUCAGAGCUCUUGAUCCUCCUGCUUCAGCAUCUUGAGUUUUAUGAUUACAGACUUGAUGCUAGGCACUAUGGAUAUGAAGAAGGAACAACCAAAGUUCCUGCUCUCAGAUAGUUUUACUGAGCCUAUGUUGGAUAACAAAUGACUACAUUUACAAAAACAAGAAGGCAGAUUGGGAAUGCAUAGUAAAGUGCAUGUUUAAGGAA